rnacentral:lncRNA from 1 species
UCAUUCAUUUUUAUAUCCAUCACUUAACCAUCUCCAUUUUAUAAAUCGAGAAAACUAAAGACCAGAUCAGUUACACUAGCCUUAAGUCAGAAAUAGAAAGUGAUCUGACCCUUAAGCAACUCCAAAACUGGACCACUCAAAUGGACUUUACUACCAGCUGUUUCACUGGCACCCCCUCAAGGCUCUAAGAGAGGUAUCUUAAGGAUUAGUGCCAAGAACUUCACAUCACUAUUUAAGCUCUUAGGUUAGAUCUCCUUACUCCUAUUCAUCACUUCUUCCCCCAGACAAUAUUCACUCAAUGUCCCUUACUUACAGUUCCAACAUCAUCAGGGCAAGUCAUGACUUGUUAUGAUUAACUAGGAUUCUGGGAUCAUAAAGUCCUCAGUCCAAAUUUAUUCAGCCACCAACUAUGAGACCUUCAGCAAGAAGGUUAACUAGUUAAGCCAUAAAUUUUUCAUAUAAAGAAUGGUGAUAGUAAUACUAACCUCACGGGUUUCUUAGAGAGAUUCAGGGAAAAUUAUGUAUAGAAACACCUUGAUACUGCAGGCAAUCUAGCAGAGUAGGCACUUAGAAGGUGUUACCUUUCACUACAAGUAUUAUCAUUUAGCAAGUCAUUCACUCACUCAAAUAUUUCCUGACUUCUAUUUAGCAAGUCACUGUAAAUGCACAUAAGUGACUUCUUUCCAGUCACUUGGAUUAAUAGCUCCUUUUUAAAUGUCCCUCUCCCCACACUGACAACCCCUUUAGUCUUUGAUAAAUGUUUUUUUAAAGCCACAAAAUCAAUUCAAAGGCAAAGAGAAUACCUUAUCCAUUGACAUUAACAUAAAGCCCCCAAGGAUCCACAUGAUCAAUUGGUCAAAGGUCUAAGUAGAGCUGGUUCUUUGUUUCCUCUCAAACUUUUUACUGGAGAGACUAAGGGACAGAUGUUAAUAACCUUAGGGCACAAGCGGAACAAACUCAGCUCUCUGCAUAAGGUUAAAUUAGCAGAUGUAAGGAUGAAAGGAGCUAGGAAGCCAUUUCAUUCAUAUAUUUAGGGUAAACUUUAAGUAAAUACCAAUGGACCACAUAAAUUCUUCAGCUAUACUCACAAUGCUCGGACCAUGUAACUUAACAUGUAUUUGUAUUCCCCAUCUCUCUGUCUUAUCUCUAUGGUGCUUUUCUCCUCCAAUUAAAAAUUUAAGUAUUUCAGGCCAGAGACCUCAGAGCCUAACAAACUAGAAACAUGUUUCCUUCACUCCACCCAGGUCUGAGUGUCUGUACUAGCUCCCUCAGUAUGGAGCACUUGUGCCUGGCCAACUCUUCUCAUUCUGGCUCCUUCUGACAUCUCAGGAUGCAGCUCAAAUAUAAUUUCCUUAAAGAGAUACCUCUGGGCAAUCCUUACUAAGUUUUUUCCACCCUCGCUCUAUCAAGUCACCCUAUUUGUGUUCUCCAUAAAAGUUAUCAGUACCUGAACUUAAUUUUACAUUUUUUUGCUUUAUCUGUCUCCCUCUACAAUGUACCCUCUAUGAAGAAGGGAAUUCUGUCUGUGCUUUUUCCAUUGCUGUAAUCCCCAACACCCAGAACAAUUACUAUAAAACAGUAACCACCUUUCUAUGAGAGAAAGAUACACAUCAUCUGCAUAGUGCUGGACAAUUUAAAUGUUUCCCUUCCACCUCUCAAGUGAUCAUCUAACAGCUUGGUGAGAUUCUCCAUCUCAGAAAUGACAGCUGGAGCUCUGGCAGCAAUCUUAAGCUGAGAGGUGACCUUGAGGAUGGAAGUCAUGUGCUGAGGAAGGUGAGAUCAAAAGGAAGGAGGCCUGAAUCCCAAAGGACGCCACAAACCUGGCAUUCCAGGCCUAUGUCUAAGUUCCUUUUAGAGGAGAGAGAAAUAAACUAUCGCAUUUAAGCUUCUGUUUAUUUGGGAUUUUCCCCCUGUAAUAUGCAGCUCAAUGUAAAUAAUUAAUACUGGCCAAAGAUCAACUAAUGGCAAAUAACAAAAUGCGGUGCAGGCUCUCCAACACGACAACUCAUUAAGAAGAGUCUAAAGUGACUUGAAGGCCAAUGUUUCUUAACCUUAUGUCAGUACAGGCUAUGCUGUUGAAUGUUCCAGGCCCUACUAUCAUUUGGUACAUUAUACACCUUGAGACUCAUUCCUAUUUUGCUUUUAGUUUCACAUCAUGCUUUUUUUUUUUUUUUAAUCUCUACAGCUGUCUAUAACAAAACUUUUUAGGAAAGUACCACAAAUAUGUUAAACAGAAGAAGCAAAUCUCAAAUAAUGUGCAAAAGCUGUGAGUUUCUUCUUACAUAAAACUGGUACCUAAGCAAGUGAGGGUUCAUUUUAUUUUUCACUCACCAAUCCCCAUAUCAUUAUACAGUAACACCAUACAGCCAAAACGGCCAUGAUAUUCCUCCCUUCUCAGCCAAAAUUGGGCAAGAGAGAAUGACCCUUGUAGGGGAAAAGAAACCUCUACGAUAAACUGAAAUGCCACCAUCAGGGUUUGUUGAAACUGUAGGAACAGGGUCUACGACUCACUUAGCUGCUAAUGAGUUUCUAUGAUUCCAGAUGGAGUAGUUCAAAGUAAGAAGUGAAGGGGCUGGACCUGUCUGUGAAUCAGAAUGAGCCCACGUCCUCCAGGAAGGUUUUUUAUAGCCUCCUCUCCCAAAUGGAAAAGCCAAAUCCAUCACUGAUGCUUCCAUCAGAACCUGUAGAGGUACUAUCAUAACACCUUCCACACAGUUUAGUGCACUUAACCUGGAAACCAGUUACCUCCAUUGUGAGCUUUGAGGCCUGGGGCUCUGUUGCUACGCGUUUGUUUCACUAGUGCUAAGAGUGGAAUGUAGCAGAUGUUCAGCACAUGAUUGCUGAGUAAAAGCCAUCCUUUGUGGCUGAAGUGAUGAACAUGGCAUGGCAGGCCCUUUCCUCAAACAACUAAUGAGCUGAGACCUGAUACAGCAGCAAGAAGGACCCUAUAAUCCUGAGGAGGAGGGAGUGGAGAGGAGAGCUGAGGAAGGGCUGGUGAAGAAAUGGUUGCUGCACCAUUAGUCACUUUUACCAAAAUAGCUAAAACAAGGAACAGGAAACUAUUAGCAAAUGGACGUGCAGAAAGCAUCCACUGAUAGAGAGUUUUUAUGACAAGACAAAAAGGAAUAGCACUUGUUUGAUGGAAUCCAUGGACCAGAUGUUGUUUUUUAUUUUUAUUCUUUCCUGAGAGAGGGUCUCACUGUAACAUAGUGAUGCAGUCACAGCUCAUUGUAGCCUUGACCGCCCAGGCUCAAGUAAUCCUCCCACCUCAGCCCCCCAAGUGGCUGGGGUUACAGGCACAUACCACCAUACCCAGCUCAUUUUUUAUUCUUUUGUAGAGACAGGGUUUCACUAUGUUGCCCAGGCUGGUUUCAAAUUCCUGGCUUCAAGUGAUCCUCCUGCCUUGGCCUCCCAAAGUGUUGGGAUUACAGGCAUUAGCCACCAUACCCAGCCCAGUGUUUUUAUGAUGAGGUGCAUUAGCUGUGCCAUGGAGUUAGACAGAGCUACAAGGAGGAGAACUACUAUUGGCAAGCACUACUAUGUGCCAGAUACCAUACCAGACAUUUUCACGAACAUCUCCUUUCAUUUUCAUAGCAACACAAUGAGUCGGCAGGUGAAACAGCCUAGCUAAGGGCAAAUGACACAGCGAAUUAAAACAUUUACUGUUCACUCUGCCAGCUCUCUGCAUUUUUAACAGGCCAUCCUGGUUAAUCCCCCUCAUAGCCAGUGAAGUGGUAUUAUCACCUCCUUUUACAGUUAGGUCCCUUUCCCAAGGCCUUAAAACUACUACGUGAUAGAGUUGGGGUUCAGUCCAUGUUCAUCUAACUUCAAAUAUAGACUAGACACUUAAAAAAGCGUUUCCCCUCAUCUCAGAAAUAAGACAUUGUCAGUGGAAAUGUCAAAUGGAGUGGCCAAUGGAAAAAAAGAUCAGCAGGACAAAGCAAUGGGGCCUUCAGCUGAUGGUCUCAUCACUGCAACACUGCCCUACUACAGGAGAAGUGGGAAGGGAAAAAACCCAUUAGAAGCAGAAUUAAAAGCUAGGAGUCUGCUUUAUCUGAGUAGAAAUUAUAAGAAAAUUAAAACAAUUUAUUAGAACUUAAAAGCAGUCACUCCUAUAAUCAGCACCACUGUCAGUCUUCUGAAGCGUUUUUACAAUUUUCACUUCCUCUGUAGCAAUUACUGUGGUUAUUUGGAGAAGAAAUUGCAAGGGAGCUAGUUGAGCACCUUGGUGAAGAACACUAAGAUGGCAAGGAAGCUUCUGCAGCUAGAAAUAGAAUGGCACCCUCAUUUAUGUUACUGUUGCAUUGGAUCACAUAGCCAGAACCAGCCCCCAGCUGCUACUAAUUUUAAGAGAGCCAUUUCUGUUCUUUAAAAAAUAAAAUAAAAUAAAAAAAGGAAUAAAAGUAUGUUGAGAAAAAUUCCUGGCACUUCCCUGACAGACUGUCGUAUUAGUGAAUGAAGACUAAAAACCAAAUGGGGAGAAAGCAGCCAGUUCAAGGGGUGGUGGGGAUUGCUCCAGGCCCUGAAUGAGGUAGUGUGGUACCCUUCUUGCAGGGCUAUGGGAACACUGAGUGGCACAGAACAGAGCAAGUAUUUACAAAUCCUGUGAAUGGGGAGUCAGAGCCUACCUUAUCCGUGAAGAUGGGACACACUGGCAUCCACUGGUGGAAGCAUUCUGGGAGGAACUGGGCAAUGUUCAAAAGCCCUAGACCCAGCAACUCUACUUACUGAGAUCCCUUCCUGGGAAUCAUCAAAAAGAUGAACAGAGCAACGCACGUAUUAAAAUAGCGGAGGGAUGGAAAAACCAACAUCAGUAACAGGAAUAUGAAUAAAGUAGGUGAAGCAGUAAGACAGGUACACCCACACAACAGAAUAUUAUGUAGUCAUGAAAACAGAGGGCAAAAGUUUUUAAUGACAUGACAAAAAAACUUUCUAGGUGAAAAAGGCAGAAAAUGCAGCUGCAUAUAUGACAUUAUUUUGUACACUAACUACUUCAUACAAUUAUUUACAUGUUCUAUAUAAAGUCUUCACUAUUACUAUAUAAUGCAUAGAAAAGUACAUUUUAACAUAUUCCUGUCUAGUUAAUGCUAUUAGUAUUCACAAAAUUAGCACACAAUCUUCUUUGUACUUUUCUGUAUUUUCCACAUUUUUAUAAUGAGAAAUUACUUACAAUGUUCUUUAAAAAAUAAAAUAAAAAAGGGAAAUUACUUUCAUAAUCAGAAAAGUCACUAUAUUUUAAUGCAAAACCAAAUUUAUCAUGCCUAUCAAAUUCACUGCCAAAAUGGAAUAUCAAUGAGCAUAUAUGUCAUGUGCCUCCAGGAUUUAAGAUCAUAAGAAAUACAGAGGGCCAGGAACAGUGGCUGUCGCCUGUAAUCCCAGCACUUUGGGAGGCCGAGGUGGGAGGAUUGCCUGAGCUCACGGGUUUGAGACCAGCCUGAGCGACAUGACAAAACCCCAUCUCUAUAAAAAAUACAAAAAUUAGCUGGUGUGGUGGUACUUGUCUGUAGUCCCAGCUACUUGGUAGGCUGAGGUGAGAGGAUGGCUUGAGCCCGGGAGGUGGAGGUUGCAGCGAGCACCACUACACUCCAGCCUAGGUGACAGAGUCAGAUCUUGUCUAAAAAAAAAAGAAAAAGAAUACAUACAUACAUAUGAAUGAGGCCUGACACCUAGAUUUAAACACUGAGAAGUCUAGGGCUGUAUGAAGGAGGAAGAGUUAAAAAUGAAAAUUAUAACCAACCUAGAUGUAGCUUUCCACACAACCAGGAAGAAGUAUCAUUCCUCUCUAGUAUCACAUUAAAAAAAAAUGGAGAAAAUUCAGAGCUUUUCAUCCUUUCUAACAGGCUACUCUGAAAGUAGAAUUUACCAAUGGAAAAGAGUAAAAUUAUCUAUCCCAAACCACUGAUCAGAUCAGUAGACAUCAACACCAUUGCCCUAGUUUACUUUGCCAAAGAGUGCAACAUGCCCAGUCUUCGGUUAAAGACAUCAGGAACAAUAAAACAAGUAAACAACUAACGGGCUAGCCACCUAUCUAACUUCAAAUAGAGACAACCAGAAAUUUGAGAAAACCUUUUUAUCUCAUCCCAAAUAUAUAAAUCAAGAAUGCUGGCUGAGGAAACCUAAGGAUCCUUUCAAUUUUGAAAUUUUGUGAUUCCAAGACACAAUAAGUUUAAUCUUUGGCAUAUUAAGCUAUCUUUCCUGGAAGAGCAGCUAAUUAAAUCUUCCAAAAGGCUGUCAAUCUCCUGCCCCCAAAAAAACAUGGAUUAUAGUGAAUAAGCCCCAGUGGCUACAGAGACAGGUGACUGCAAAGAAGCAGGCCUGGCAUUUACAACCCACUCUAUAGCCUCAUUUAUGGUACUCUGCCACCUCUGCAAGUACAACUGAUUUCAAAUUCGGCUCCAUUUGACCAUGUGGGCUUACACAUGAGGGUCUGGUUCAGCACCAAAGAUUCCAAAGGGCAAGAAGAAGCAGGCAUGUGAGGGUCAAUCAGUGAGUUGGGAGUUAAAAUCCCUCCUCAGUCAAUAGGAAUGUGAACUCUGGGACCUCAAUUUCUACAUUUACAAAAAAGGAGAGAGAUGUACUUACUAGAUGGAAAUCUCCAGCUUUUCCACAAAGUAUCCCUUAGAAGUCAGGGGGUGCAUCCUAAAGCACUCACUACUCUAACUACAUAAACCUAAUAAAGACUCUGUUUUAUCACCAACACUUGUGCAUAGUUUGCACUCCUUUGUAUUUCCAUGGUUGCUUAAAUAUAAAAUGAUUACUAGUCACUUAAAUUGUCUAAGUUCUUCCACUCCUCCCACUCAAAAUCUCUGAGUAAAACUAAUAUGCCAGAAAGAUACCACGUUUGUCUUUUAACAUCAGUUAUCUCAUCCCACCAUCACAUAAAACCCAGAGGACUACUUCCCCUAGUAUGAGAUUCAAGGCUCUUAAUAAUCAUAUAAUUUUCUCUUUUAAUUUUCUAUGAUAAAAUGAAAUAAGUGUGCAAGUGUCCAGCAUUAUACCUGGCAUAUAACAGAUGGUAAAAAGAUAGAUGCUAAAUCUCAAUCUGACUUCUAGCAAAUUAAACUUGCUUUGCAAAAUAUGCAUUGCAAAGUGCUGAGCUGGGAAUGCAAAUCAUAAAUGUAAUGAAGAUGCUACUGUGCUGCCACGGUUCUUCAUCUCUAGAGAUUUUUUGUUAAGAAAAAUCAGCUGGGGAGAAGACAAGAGAAGCAGCAAGUAAAACACACAAAAGCAAAAUUUAAAAGUCAAUAAAACAACUUCCAAAAGAAGGCUAUGUAGGUAUGCAGUGAAAAAUUGCAUAAGAAACUGAGAGAUAAAAAUUCAUACUCAGGUUUAGUUAGAAGUCUCUCUGGAGAUGAAUUUUAUGCCAUCUGUGGUUAAAAAAAAAAAAAAAUGAAAAUGCUGUAACUAAACAUGAUUCCUUCUCUUAGAUGCAAAUAAAUUAUGGAGUUACUGCAAUCUGCUGAAAUCAGGUGUCUUGAGUCCCCGCUGUCUCCUACAGAGAGGUAUUACAUUGAUCUUAUCCCAAACUGCCUCAUUUUACCUUGUAUUUGAAUCACUGGCUGCCAAAUCCUUCAGGCUGCAGAUGGCACAUAUAUCUUAAGUAAUUAAAUACAGAACUGGGGACUAGGAAUCAGAUAGGGGAAGUAAACAUUACUGACCUUCUAACAAUUCCUUUGUACUUAAUGAUGAGGACUCAGUUCAAUAUAAUGCUAUCUGGAUUCAGUUCGAUUCAACAAAUAUUCAUUUAGUGCUUAUUAUGGCAAAUCCUCAUGCUAGGGAUUGUGAAGCAUGUAUAGAACACAGUCCUUACCUAAGUGAGUUUACAACCUGGUAGGAGAGACAGGAUGCACAUACGUAUAACUAACAAAGGGCAGAAUGUGGUAAGAGCAAAGAGAGAUAUACAAAGACCUGCAAUGGAGAGCAGUGGGAAAAGAUCAUUUCCAGGCCAGGGAGACGCAGAAGGCUUUGAGGAGAAGGAAGUCCAUGUGUCGGAUGGAACUUUCUAACAAAACACCCAUAGGACCAGUUCUAUCCAGGCUUUGUGAAGCACUAGGCAUUUGUGGAAUCAAACUGGAUGAGAAAAAGAUCAGAAUAGGCAAUGCAAUGAAAUUAUCGUGCAUCUGCUGGAGUGAAGACAGUGCUCCAGUCAUUACAGACAACUACUGCACAGAAAUGGAAGGAAACUGUUGUUCCUAAACAAAAGCAACUGCUCCUGUUGAUGGCAUGGUAGUAUUAAGACUCCGUUCUGGAUCAUCACCAUGUUCCUGGGGAGGACAAGAUUCCUAAUGCUGAGGCAAAUGGACUGCUAUGCCGUUCUAUUCAAGCCUGAACAUUACGGACUGGACACUCAUUUAGGGAUGUGAGAAGGAGGGACAGAAACUCUUGAUGUUUUUAAACACUAGUGUAAAGAAACAAGAGGGAACAUACUUUCUUUAGCCACUUUUCUGAAAAGAACAAAUAAGCCUUUAAAACUGUAACCAACACUAUCAGACAAGGGAAAGGCAGCAUUAAACUGACCUAGCUCUAUCAGACAAAUAUAAGUAAUUUCAAGGCACAGAUUUCCACCUGCCAGUCCCCUGUCAUGUUGGAUAAGAAAGUGACCACAUUUCCAGUGCCAUCUGCAGAAGAGCUGAAAGUUCUAUCUCAUGUGAAAAACCGUUUUGACUCCUCCUACCUCCCUCUACUGUCUGUUCCCCCUAAUUCCCAUUUCCAGCCAGAAUGCAGCCUCCACUCCUCUAUGGUCCCAUAGUCCUUUGCAGACAUCACUUGCAAAGAAUUUAUCAUACUAUAUUAAAAUUAGGCAUACUAUGUAUGUAAGGCCCAUAACACAAUGCUAGGCACUCAGCAGAUCUUUGAUAAACAAUAAGCAUCUCCCCUCUAGCCUUGAGAGACAUCCUUGAGGGCAUCUUUUUAUCCUACUGCCUAAUAGAUUACCAGGCAUUAAAAAAAACCACUUAUCUGUAAAUAAAUACCCAGAAACAAAAAGAUGCAGAUGCAGGAGCAAUUGUCCUUUCUUGCCCCAUGGCUCCCAGAGCUGCCAGGGCUUCCUAACAAUACUACUCCCUCAGUUAUCACCCUAUUCCUCCAGGGGCUCAAAAUGUAUUGGGCCACCCCUCUCCUUCCCUGCCAGCUCUGUUAGAAACCAACUAACCCAAACCCUCUGAGUCAAUCAUCAAAUCAGUAGAAGCCAACUUUCUGUAAAGGGCCUGUGAGUUUCUAAUCAGGAAGAUCUGGACGGUUCUGGCAGGGCCUCCCUGGUCCUGCCAGAAGCAUCAUGACUCAACCCCACUUCUCUGGCUGGUUGGCUGUUAACCUUUACUGAGCUUCCAGAAAUGUUAGGCUCACUUCUCUUUUAACAAAAUGAAAUGAGAAGGUAAACAUCAUGGGUAAGGAAACAGCAGGUCUGGGAGUAUGGCCGAAACUGUCUAAGGCUGUCUUGGAAGCAGGUAGGGAUGAAAAGGUUGAAUAUCAUUAACCAACUGGAGAGCUGUAUCCACUUGCAAAGAAGUAAUUUUUUAAAAGGUUUAAAGAUGAUCUAAGUCUGACCCCUUUGCUCUACAGAAAAGGAAAUUAAGGCACAGUGAGGCAAACUGACUUGGGCAAGUACUUAGAAAAAGGACAUCAAAUAACCAAGAACUGACAAUACAUGCAAUGGAUGACUCAGAUGUGUUCAAGGGAAUUAAUUAUAUCCUAAUAUAACUAUGCAACAAUUUAGGAAGCAUAAUUCGUAAAAUCCAUUAAAAUAUGAGGCCUCCAAGUCUAUGGAUACAAGAAUAGGGCUGGGAAAUUUCAGUGGUACUUACAACUUCAUCUGUUUUACCCAGACAGUUAAGGUUCUUGUAAUGAACAUUCACAUGGCCCACAUCUUAACCAUGCACUCAUUUUUUACAGCACCUCUUUUGAAAAGCAAAAGCACACCCUUGCAUCCUCAGCUAGUGGCACAGUGCAUGAGCAUCUGGUGCAAGAAGCAGGAGAGGCUCUAGACAGUCUGCCUCGUAACCCCGAGCUCUGCAAAAGCCAAGCAAAGGUGACUGAGAACAAGGAACCCCCAAAACCCAGAACACUGGCUGCUCACCGGCAGCCCUGCUUGCAGGCCCUUCCAGAGGUGGGGUAUGUCCUACCCUAACCCAAACAUGCCUAUACAUUUAGGGACCAAAAUUCCACUGACAAAUUCUGGGGGGCGGAAGAGAAUAGCAGCAGUAAUAAUUAAUGUGUGAGCUUUCAACCUUUCCUUUUCUGAAAACUCAGAUGAGUUCACAUUUAACUCUUUCUUGGGGUCAAAUAUGGUAGUUUCUUUUUAACUAGGAGGAGAGCUGAACAAAUUGGAGAAAGAAUUCCUUUCUUUCAACGUAUUCAAAAGCAAAGAGAAUUCCUAAACAUUUGCUCAGGUAAUACAGAUUUCUAGCACUGAGGCCAACUUCAAACAGUGCACAGUGAGAAAAGACCAGUGCUACACUAUGCUUGCCUCGUGUGAAUUUGGUAACCACACCACAAGUAUCCUUGUUAAGAAAAAGACAUCUGUAGCACUUAUCAUAUUUUGUUCACUCUAUAAGCAAAGUAAGAGACAUCUGUUCUUAAACUAUGUGAUCUAAAAGUUCAAACACACCUGUCUGAAUGACUAGUUGAAGAUCAGCUAUUGUGCUGAGGAAGGCGUUUUGGGAUAUACAAAGAGGAAAGCAUAGCCUCUAUUUACAGUUUAGUGAGACACUAAUACGUAAACAACUAGUUACCAUACAUAGAACAGAAUGAAGUGUUAUAACUGUAUUAAUUACCACAUGCUGAAAUGCCAAGUGACUAAGUUAGGGCAGGGCUAAAUGCUUUUCCAGCACUGUCUCUCCUACUUCUUAUAAACUGCUGUUGAGAUAGAUGUUUUUGUUCUUAUAUUGUGGAUGACAAAACCAAGGCUCCGAGAAGAGACCACAAAACAUAUGAUUAGUAACAGUAAUCACAAGCUUUAGGGAGUACUAAAUAUGCCAGAAACGGUGGUAAGUUAUGCACCUUACAUGAAAUUUUCUAUUGUCUUCACAAUGAUGUUUUAAGUACUAUCAUUAUCCCCAAUUCACAAAUGAGAAAAUGGAGAAAAUUUAAGUAAACUGCCAUGGCGGAGCUGGCUUAGGAACCUAGGUCUUUUUGACUCCACAGCAUGUGUCCUUAACCACCGUCUAUAGUUCUAAGUAGUAGAGGGUUGCUGGAAAUCAGAGAAGGCUUUAAGGAGGAGGUGGCAUGUGAUAUGCCUCACUCUCAAUGCAGUGCCUCACUGCCGACUUCCCAGCGCAUAUCCUUACUGCUGGAGACCGACAAAUGAGAGAAGUCCCAGCAUGCUCACGUACAAAAGAACAGGAGUUUGCUUUUACAAGUCUACUAUCAUGAUUACAGUACUCAUGCACCGACUUGCAAAGCCUGUGAAUUCACCUGCCUGCAAUGUAAGGGCCACACUUUCCUACAACUUUUAUAAAACAUCAGUGCUGCAAUAGGAUCCCCAAUUUAAGCACAAACAAGUUGAAAUGCCUCAAGCAAUUUCCACCCCAAAUAAAAUACAGGUUUCAAUACACACCACGAACAGACUGGAUGUGCUGGAAUGGUAGUUGGUGCAACACUGCUGAACUCCUGUUGCAACAACUUUCAUUUUUAUUUCCCCUGAAAAAAGCUUAAACAGCUCGCUCCACGCUAGUCAAAGAAUAUUAACAGGGUGUCCAUCCGGAGGCCAACAAAGAGUAGAGAAAACACCAGCAACAACAAAUAAAUGUAAAUGUUCAAGGGUUCUACACUUUGAAUGCAUUAAGACAGCCAGACAGCAAAUGAGCAGAAAUGGAUUCUUCUAUGAGAAUCCCAACAUUUAAAAGCAAAGCAUUAAUUUAAUGCUUCUCUCCACAUUGUGUUUCCCAGCCCUGAGAACUGAAAAUGACCUUAUAGAAUAUAUUCAGAGACAAUCAGUGGCCUAUUUCUUCAGGAUCCCUUUAUUUCGCAAGUCAUCUUAAUUUAGCCUUUCAGAUUCUGGCACACCAGACCCACUGUGGUUAUUCCUUCCCCUCCCCAGGUCAGUCCACAUCAGAGCACCAUGAUUUAGAUAUGAAUAACUGGAUGAAUGCCCCCAGGAGGCAGCAUCUGAGUAGCUAAGGGAGCUUUCACAGAGUUGGCAGGAUGAUCACAUGCCAAGAGCAAGGGAAUUUCAAUUUGCAAAGGUGUUGGUAGGGCACUCUAUCUUUCUGAGCAGAUGUAAUGAAUAAUUCUCCCUGCACUCCAGUUCCUCUAAGAGUUGUCCUUGGAUUUGAGUGUUGUGGCACUAUGUGAACAGCUGGUGAUACUAUGGCCCUGUCUGUCUUCCAAUGGCUCCGCUCAAAUAAGUCACUCAUCCUCUCCCACCAAACUGUUGUACCAAAAUUGUUGGGCAAGCUGCUGCUGUUAUUCCCUGAACAGCUCCAACUGGACCUCAGUGUAGGGUGUUACCAAAGCUUGGCUCCAGUGUUAGGGACCUUGUUAUGGUGUGAUAGCAGCUCUAGGAGCCUGAAGCUCUUCAGGAACAUCUCACAGCACAGGCAUGUAAGACCACAGGUGAAGAUUUUAUGUUACUUCUUAAUUAAGUAACAUGGAAGAAUCUUCAUUAAGACUCUCAGGUGACUCUACUGAGACGGGUAAAGAAGAUUAAUAUAAAUAUUUCCUAUAAUCAUGAAAAUAAAUUAAAUUUCCAACAGCAGUGGAAUAGCUGCUAAAGUAAGGUAUAUCCACAUAACAGAAUAUUGUGCAGCCAUUAAAAAGCAUGGCUUGGAAAUGUCCAGAAUAAGCAAAUCCACAGAAACAGAAAGUAGCUUAGUAAAGGAUUUGGAGGAAAAUGAGGAGUGACUCUGACAGUUACAGGACUUCCUUUUGCAUGAUAAAAAUGUUCUAAAAUUGACUGUGCAACUCUGAAUAUAGUUAAAAAACACUGCAUUGUAUACUUCAAAUGGAUGAAGUAUGCUACGUGAAUUAAGCACCAAUAAAGCUAUUUUUUAAAUGAUGGUUUGGUAGACUAAUGACAUGGAGAAAUGCUCAAUAUAAAAGGAAAUGGCAGUUUUUAAGACAGGUGAUUUAACAGGAUCCCACUUUUGCAAAAGAAAAAUAUAUAUAUACACACUGAGUUUUAUUAUCUUCUACUUCUAGCACCACUACUGCAGCUGUCUAACAUUUACUGAGCACUUGAACUCUGGUGGCCAGUGUCGUAAGUAUUCUACAUGCAUUUCUCGCCUAUCAUCAUAACAAUUCUGUGAAACUGGUACUAAAUGAGGAAAUGACCACGACUGGUGGACAAAAAAAAAGGCUUGAGCAAGUUCACAUAAUUAGUAUGUAGUGCCACAACAGAGUUUCAAAACCAGGGCCAAGAGACCAAAGACUAUGCUCUUAACCACUGUGACAAAUAAUACAGUAGUCAAUAGUCUUAAAAGCAGUGAAAGUGCAGGUGACAACCUUUAUACUACUUUUGUUACAAUAAACCUGUAUUAAUUUCAGGAUGAGGGAGGAAAAAUAAAGUAAUUAAAUUUUGCUGAGUAGAAGUAAGUUCUGAUCAUCUGCCCCCUGUGGUAGGCCCUCCACACAAACACAACACCUUGGCCACACAAUACUGCACCAUAUUAUUUUCAUGAGAGAUGUGGGCAGUUUUAAGACAAAAAGCUGUAAAAACCCAAUUAAUUAGUUAUGGCUCAGUAGUUCUUUUUUUUUUUUUUUUAAGAGACAAGGUCUCCUCUGUCACACAGGUUGGAGUGCACUGGAGUACAGUGGUGUGAUCAUAGCUCACUGCAGCCUUGAACUCCUGGGCUCAAGCAAUCCUCCCACCUCACAGCCUCCCGAGUAGCUAGGAGUACAGGCACAUGCCACCAUGCUCAAUUAAUUUUUAUUUUUUUAUUUUUUGUAGAGAUGGUGGUCUCCCUAUGUCGCUCAGGUUGGUCUCAAACUUCUGGCCUCAAGCAAGCCUCCUACCUCAGCCUCCCAAAGUGUUGGGAUUACAGACAUGGGUCUGUAUAGAUUUUUAUGGUUGUUAAAAGUCAGACCUCUUAGACUAGCAGGAAAUAUAGGGUAACACUUCCCUUAAUCAAAUUUCUAAUGGUCAGAAUAUGAUAUCUGCUGGAAUGGUUCCACUGAAGCCUUUGUUCCCCAGAGGCACUUCAUUUUACUCCUGACCAGAUGGUGGGUGGCUCUUCCUCACACUGGAUUUAACACUUAGGGUAUGAGAGCCCUCCAACUGUUCAAAAUCCAGCCUUAACCCUCAACCACUGCUGCUGCCUCAUCUCUGAGUGACACAGCGGUUCACUAAGCCACUUAACUAAAUAAGUUUUCCAGUUCUGUUUCCAUCCUGGUCUCUGUUGCUCCUCUCAAAACAUGGCAUCCAGUUGUGGAACAGACAUUGGGUGGGAACCUCCCUUGAUGAAGAUACAACAAAGCUUCAGCUUUGGCUUGGCUCUUUUCAUUUAAGACUGUGAGAACUUGCACAGUUGCUACAUCCUAAGUAUUGCCAAAGGGUAGAGCAAAGAUCCAGGAUCUUGGAUUUAUUCAUUCCAUUUCCCAAGAGCUAUUAAGAGGAUCUUGGAGGUCAGCUGGUCCAAAUCUAUAGUCCUACAGACGUAGAAAGUGGCAUGGGUGGGUGGCUAUACAACUCGCUCAGAGUUCCACAAGUGAUACUGCUCUCCUCCAGAGCUCCUGUGCAAAUAUGUUACUGGCUCAUAAUAAAUGUCCAACUAAACACUUCAGGUAUUCUCAAGCUAAAGUUGAGAGUAUUUUACAUUUUAAGAAAAAACAAAGAGCUCUGAAAUAGGGACUAAACAGAAAAUCACACAGAUGCAUUACUUCCAAUAAAAAUGUUUUGACCACUUAUGACGUGUUGCACUUCUCUACUAGGGCAGCCUCAGAUGGCACCAUUCUAAGUUCUCCUUGGAGGAAAACCACAUGGCUCAGUGAGAAGCCAUGUUUAUCAAUUAACUGGAGCAACACAGUCUUAUUUACUCAAAUAAUUUUCUAGUCAACACAUCCAGCAGCCCUGAAUCACCAUUUCCCUCCUGUCCUGCCCCACAAAGGGAGGGAUGUUUGAUGUUACAGCUAGUGUCACAGCUUUCAGGGAGAGACAGUUGUAAUCUAAUUCCUCAAUUUGUCAAACAGGACAUUUUCAUUACAGCUGGACCCAGCUGGAAAUGAAUCACUCCCACACACGUCCCCAACAAAACAUAAAAGGCAUUUAACAGAGAAAGACACACAUGUACUGUACACAAACCCACAAAGACAGAGAGAGAGAUUGCUUCAUCAAACCAAACUGAGUAAGCAUGAAACCGUACUACCCAUCUAAUGGGAGUCUCCAUUCCACUUUGCAUUUUCUCACCCUGGGUCUUUGCUCAAAAGGUGUCCUCUGCCUGAAAUGUUCUACCCAUCUAUUCCUCAGGUCCAGGUCCGAAAGGACCCUGUAAGAUUUCUCCAGUUGGAACCUGUCAUGACCUCAUGUGUGCUCUCAGAGCAAUCUGAAUUAUCACAGCUCUGACCGGUCUAUGCUAUAUUGCAGCUAACCUGGCACCCCACAACCACCACCCCAUUCACCUGUGAACACCUUUGGGACAGAAAGCAUGUCUAAUUCAUUCUGUUACCCUUCCCUCAGUCAUCUACCAAAAACCAGGCACAUAGUAGGUGCUCAAAUGGCAGAAUCAUGUUAAACUGUACUUAACUCAUGUGAGGCCUUCAUGAGCAUUUAAGGUUUAUAUUGCCAAAGGCAAUUUGUCUUACGGGUAAGCUUUACGAUGGAUCAUUGUUUCCUUUCCCAGUUUAAAUGUGUGUAGGUAUCUCUAUGGGGAAAGGGACAGAAGACAGGGUUCUAUCAUUUAUCUUUUGUUGCCUUCUGGAAAUUUUGCCUGUUUUUACAUAUAAUCAUUCUUAAACCUAUAAAAAUGCCCCGAGCUGAAAAUUUUAGGUGAAGCCAUGAAGAAUAUACUGAACCCAAUUCUACGAUUCUCUGGGAUGCUCCUGAAAGUACAAACAAACCUCCUUCCACUUCUAGCCUUUUUUUCUCAGUAGCAGAUGAUAUGGUGUACCAAAAAUGGGCUUUGGCAUCAGAAAGACCUUAGCUGUCCAUUGGCCAGACCAGCCUUUCCAAUGCUCAGUUCCCCCAGCUGCAAAAAGGGAAUAAGAUUACUUCCCAAGCAGAUGGACAUAAAGAAUAGAUAGGAUAUAAAAAGAGCCUGGAACCUAGCAGGCACACAUAUUAAAUGUCAGCUAAUCUUAAGUGUUGUGGGCUCCAAAGUUAAGGAAAGGGGGCAUGGCUAUUUCGAGUGGAAAGAGCGAGUAGGGCCCUAUUACCCCUUAGACCAUUCUCUGGAAGGUUAGUUGACAUCACAAUGUCAUCUUGCUCUUAGAUCCAUCCUUCUGAACCAUGAUGGAACUGCCAAGCCCAGAGCAAGAAUUCCAUGGAAGCAGUCUGGAGAGAGAAAGGAACACUGGCUCUGAGCAUUCCUUACUAACUGUGUCAACUUGGUCAGUUUACUUCACUUCCCUGGGCAUCAGCUGAAGAAAACGGGCCCAGAAUGUUAAGUAAAGCAAGUCACACAGUUGCUUAGUCCACAGACUAUGGAAUCUGGCAGGCAUGAAAUCCAGCCUUACUUCCUGCCUUCCUUAUUAUAGUGGAGGAAGUUACUUAAUUUUAGAGCCUUUUCUCAUUUGUAAAAAAAUAGGACGUCCACCCACAUCAGGUUAUCAUGAGAAAAGUAUUAGAUAAACAUGUAAAGAGUUUAGCACAGUACUGUUACCUAGUCAAGAGGUGCCAAGCCCUCAAAAUCAUGUAGCUAGUAUUUUAUUAGCAACAUUAAAAAUACAAGCAAAGCAUUUAAAAAAUACACCCCAAAAUUCACAGACAUAUCUAGAAACACAUACACACACACAUGCAAACACACAAUGCACAUCAAGUGGGGAGAAUGAUCAGAAUCCACAAAAGCUGAAAAAUGGGGAAACUGAGGCCCAAACCCAGAGAACCAUAGAGCAGAUCCCCAAAUAUUUCUGUGUGAAGUCUCGGCCCAAGGUCUAGGUUUGCUUUCUCAGAACCACUAAAUCCAGAGAGAAUGAUGGAAUACACAAAAUUACAGGGCUUACACAGAGAAGAGAAGUUAUCACUAUGGCUACUAUUUCAAAUCCAAGAGCAAGCACCUCUCUUGGAGGCCUGUUAACUUGGUUUUGGGUCACAGAGUAAACAUUUCAUGACCAACAUCUGAAAUUUUCCAUUCAACUUUGAAGAAACAGUCUGAUUUGAUGGCACUUGUGAAGUUUACAGCUUCUGCUCUGCAUCUUUCUGGUGCUUUUCAAUGAAGAUGUUGAGUGCUUGUUAUCAUUACAGGUCUACACCAUAUCACCAAUGGCAGGGAGUAUAAUGAAAACUCUGUCUUUUUUCCUGCUGAAAGAGAAAACCUAAUUUCACCCAGAAGCCCAUCCACACCACCUGCACUUUUUGAAUAUUCAAUCCCACUUCAAGUUAAAUAACCAUUUUUAUGAUCAUUUCUGUGAUUAUGUCAUUGUACUUUAGUUUACAGUUUCAUUAUUUGUACACUGUCAAAUAAAAAAUAAUACAAAGAACAUCUAAUUUUACUUCAACACUUCCAAAAAUUUCCUAAUCUCCAACCCCAAAGUGGAAUUCAACAUCAAUAGCAAUGCUUUUGGAAAUAUUCCAGAAUGCAAAACAACUUUUCGUUUUCUUAUUAGAAACUCUGGAUUUUUUCCCUCUUCUGAAUGGCUGAAAGUAGAAUAAAAAGGCUGCUUCCUUAGUUAAUCUCAGCCUGAUUUUCUUUCUACUUCUCUUAUCACUUUCUUCAAGUAAAAGGAUAAUCUUUAUUAAUUUUCCAACCUGGAAGAAGCCAUUAAUAUGUCAAUGACUGAUUCUAACUUGAAAGCACAUGCAGCACAACAGGCACAAUUUUCAUUUUAUUUUUGUAAAAAAAAUUUUAGAAAAUAUUUCUAUAUAAAAAUCUAAGAAAUCUAUAACAGCUAAAAAAGAAGUUUUUUUUUUUAAAGGGAAAAUAAUACACUGACAACUUAUCUAAGGAAAUUCUAUUCACAUUACAGAAAGAACUAGCAGCAGCAACAUUCACAGUGAUUCAAGCACAAAGCGGUUCAAUCUUUCAUAUGGAAAUUCUGUUUGGAGGCGAAACCGUGUCAUGCUCUAUUUUGGGUAAGUAGCUCUCAAAACUCAAGGGGGAAUUACAAUUAUAUAUCUACUCCAUACUACCUUAUUAUCUACUCCUUAUUUCCUAAGCACCCCCAACCCUAGUCCAAAUCAGUUGGAUUUAAAAGGCUAUUUUAUAAAGAAUUAUAAACCAACAUGUUUUAACUCUAAUCAUCUUUAGUUGAUGGGAUUACUUGAGAUUUUUCAUCUUUAUUUCUAUAGUAAAAAGGCAUGGCUGGCUGGGCGCGGUGGCUCACGCCUGUC